UCAUCGGACGGCGGCCGUGAGAGCUGCGUUCUCAUUGGCUUCCCGCCCUGUCCGUCUCCCCUUCUCUGCAGGCCGCAGGGGGCUCAGUGAGUCGGAGCUGGAGCAGCCGCUUGGCUUGCUGAAGCUGGCGCGGGAUUUUGGGAGGGGGCUGGAGCAAGGGCCGAGAAGGAGAAGUGGGGCGGGAUGAUUCAUCCCUUUCCACCCCCACCCCCCACACGCUUCCUUCUGAGCUCGAGUGCAGUCACCCGGGAGCAGGGGGCGUGAGAACCCCUCCCAAUCGUGAGUGGGCUGCUGUUGCCUGUCGCCGGCGCUUGGGGCUUGCCUUCCAGCUCUAGUCUGCGCGCCGACCCACCCCUUCUCCUUCCGCUGCUGGCAUCAAGCUGGCACCUCCCCCGUGCCUUCCUGGGGGCUUUUGGGCUUUUCUCCAGCACUCAGAAGCAGCUGGAGCGCCCGCAUCCAUCGUGUUUGGGGGAGAUGGUUGUGUGUCAUGGCUGCAGUGCCCCCUUCUUGCGCUCCCCCCCCUCCCCGGUAGCUUUUUCCCUACUCCGAGGCAAAGGCUCAGUAUUCCUCCAAAAGCUGUACCACCAUCGCUACAUGUUUUAAAUGUGUGGAGGCCCCUACGCCUUGGAGUGAAGGUACCUAGGUUCUUCUCACCCUCCCAGCCUCUCGAAGCUCAUCCCUCAGCAUCUGGCUGGGUUUUAGAGAGGCCCCAGGAACAUUAGUUGAGUUGAAGCAGGCAGAGUUUGUGUGUUUCUGAGUGCUAUUGUUUGGAAACUAGCUAUGUGAACGAAUUGCUAUGGCAUUGCAGAUUCCAAUGUUUGAUUCCAAACGAUAUUAUCCAAUGUCACAUGCCCUUAGCAUCUACCAUAAAUUCCAGAAUAGGGGGCGGGGUGUUAUUUUUGCUUCUGUGAGGUAAUGAAGGAAUCUAAUGAUAGCCCUUGUAUUCUAACCGAUUUCUCUUUUCCCCAAAUCGUGCUAGAGAUAAUGGAUCCUGCCCCUUGCCUGCAUAACCCUUAAAUGAGGACGACGAUAGAAUCUUUGAAUCAAUAUAUCAGCCUGUUACUCAAUGGGUAGAAUCUUUGAAUCCAGUGACAUUCCAAGGAAGUAAUUUAUCUUGGGGGCACACAUAGUUAAUUUUCUGAGUGAUUCAUAAAACAAGUGACAAAAAUGGUUUUCAAGUCCCGUGGGAUCUUCCAAAUUUUCAACUUCCAGUAGAUAACGAUUAUUCAUAGCUUCAUUUAUAAUUUAAAAGCACUUUUUUUUGUCCAGGGAAAAGAAGUACUUUCUAUAAUCUUUGAUUUUUGGAGAAAUAGUACAAAUAAAUUGGAUUAUCUCGCAAAUAUAUUUUUUAGCACAAUGACUACAGUAGUUGAUCAUUGGUUGUGUGGGAGGAAGAAUUCACAUUGUUAUUUAAAACUAUGUUAGUCACAAAUCCUACAGGGUUUAUUUCUAACCCAUAUUUUAAUUAGUUGAGACCAGAGCUGCUAAGGUAUAUGCAAUCUGUUUACAGGCAAAGAGUUUCUUCAGAUUUGAUUGGGGGCAUUAUCUAUAUUAGUGCAGGAUACAAAGACUACAUUAGUCCAAAGACACUUUGCUCAUGCUAAGUGAUUGAUUCUUAAGAAAUUGGUGGAGAGGGUCAUCCACCCUUGCAUGUUACAAUACUUUCAUGCAUUUUGCAUUCGCUUGUGCAAGUCAGGGAAACCUUGGCUGGCAAAGUAAGGAGCUGUCAUUCUUCUGGAGUCUGGGCUUUGCCUACCACGGUAUACCAUGAAGGAGGUCUGGGGAUUAACUAGGGUAUGCCGUGUAAGAGGUCCAGUCAUUAGCAGACAGGCUACCCUUGGUUCACAGCAAAGGGUGGGUGGUCUGAGGGACUGUCCAAUGGUAGGAUUCAGUGUCAGGUACAAAUACCCUCAAUACGAUGCAGACUUACGGAACAGUUGAUCAAUUAGGAAAUAGCUUAAGAUGAGUUAGCGUUGGGUGUGUUUGGUCAGGAACUAGCACAUCAGUCACUCCUAGAGAGCUCUCCAAAUGGCUGCCUUUUGACUCUUCCAGACAUCAUGACUUGAGUCAGUCCCCGUAAUUAGAACAGUUAUUCCCGUUUUUCAGAUUAAUGAACUGACUUUCACGAUCCAGUACUGGUGAGGCUAGUAUUAGAACCCAAGAAAGGGAAGGUUGUAGUUCCUUUUCUUCAUUCACCAAGUAAAUACUGAGUCCAGAUUUUGUCAGGUCCCCACAUAACAAAACCUGAAAUAUUCAACUUUUGCUAUCCCACUUAGCUUCUCCGAGAGUUUACCAUUUUUAAAAUUAAUUUCUCUAUUUUUGUUAGGCCUUUGAAGAUGUCCUCUUGUGUUGUACUACUUGACCAUGAUGUACUUUAAAGCCCACCACCCCGGGUUAUCUUUAAAGGGGAAUUUAAGAAAUCUGAAUGCGAUUGGUGACAUUGUAGAAUGUCAGCCCGCUGGGAGAUUGUUUUCUGUUCCAGCUGGUGGUUGACCGUGCCCUGGAGUGUGGGAUUGCUGGUCCUGUAGUUUCAUCAUCCCUGGUAAUGACUGCAGCUGUUCUCGUUUGUGUAAAUACCGGAUACGAUCCCAUGAAACUUACCAUUCGCCCGAACGAUGUUCUUCAGCAAUGAGGAGAGCAAAUUGGAGGAGCACUGGCAGCUUUUCCACUCUUAAAGGAAAGAUGAAUGUUUUCUAAUGAAAACUACAAUUGCUUUUGUAUUUCUUAAACUGUAAUGCUUGGUGGCUAAUUCUGUAUUCUCUCUGAGUUAAAGAACAAACACAAGGAAGGAGGUAUUUUCUGGUAUCCCUCCCUGUUCUCAUUUAGAGCCAUUUGUCUUCAGAUUUGUGGGUGUGGGGAGGAGGGGGUGGUUCUUCAGCACCAUGUCCACCUCUGUGCAGUCAUGCUUCCCACCGUGAUGAUAAUGGACUAAACUUCCGUACCUGUGAGCCAGCCGCAGUGAAAUGCUGUCCUUUCUAAGAGUCACCAUGGUCAUGGCCUCUUCUGCCAAUAGAAACCUUAACUAAGACAGGACCCCAAAGUGGAAUUAGAACAAUAGCUGCUAGUGCCCAGUUUCUGGAUGAGCUCAAACCAGCUUCAGGGCCUUCUUCACUUAGGAGCCGUGCUCAGAAUACUCGAUGAUAGGGGUACUUAAGCCCAGAUUCAUAUUUAUGCAUGUUACACAUCUAGUUAUAGCAGGCUGAAUUCUGGGUAAAACGGGCUUCUAAGAAAAAAGCAUACCCCCCUUUCCUGGAAGUGCUUACCCAAGGAGAGGCACAAGGAGAAGAGACUGAAAGUCUCCCCUCUGCCAAGGAUGAGUCAUCGUUGCUCAGUUCAGCUCAUGGCCUUUUCUUUUUCUAAAGAGUGUAUUCUUGCUUCCUUGCCUGCUCCAAUUAAUCUUUUGAGAUUUGGAUCCACUGUUUCCCCUCUGAAUUCUUCUCUUUCAGGAGUAUGAGGGUCGAGUACUACUGACAUAGAGACCAGAGAAAAAUAGGGGUGUUAUGCACCUUGGAUUAGGAGAGUGCCCAUCAAUAUUGUUAACUGAGACAAGUAGUUUGCAUUGGAAUUGUUUUACUUUUGUGUUGCUGGAACAAGAAUACCUGAGAACAACUUAACAGGGAGAAAUUAUGUCUUUUUCUCACCUCACCGCUUCAGAGGCUUUGGUCUACCCUGGGUAAAAAAUGUAGCAGAAAAGAGCACUUACAUUAUGGCCGACAAGAAGCAAAAAGAGAUAGGAAGGGACCAAGGACAAGAUACCCUCAAGGACCUACUCGUGGCUUGCUUCCUCCAGGGCAUGCUUCUUGGAAAAGCCUAAUCAAGAUAAAGAGUGAGUGAGUUGGGGAGAGAGCAGGUGCGUGUUGAAAAGGGAACUUGGAGUCGUCUGGGGAUGCGGAGCAAAAGGAAGUCUCAGUUACUGCUGACGGGGACGCAAAAUACAGCGUUUUGCAGAAUUUAGCAGUUUCCUACAAGAUGAGCUGGGUGACUGAACUAUAUUGCCCCUGCUUUGACCAUCAGCCCAGGAACAAUGGAGCCAGUGGACUGAAGCCUCAGAGACUGAGAAACCUUUCCUCUUUGAACUUGAUUUCUUUUAGGAAUUUGUCAAAGAGAUGCAAAAUUGACCAACACAAUAAUUUGGUUUCAGAUUCUUAGACUUGUUAGGAAAAAGGGAUUUUGGUGUCAGUAUUAGUCAAGGCUCUCCAGAGGGGGGGAAAAACAAUAGGAUGUAAACACACACACACACACACACACACACACACACACACACACACACACUUUUUUUUUUAUUCCUUUCUUUUUUUCGGAGCUGGGGACCGAACCCAGGGCCUUGUGCUUGCUGGGCAAGCGCUCUACCACUGAGCUAAAUCCCCAACCCCCCCACACACACUUUAAAUGUUAAUUUUAAAAAAUAGUUCAGGGGUUGGGGGUUUAGCUCAGUGGUAGAGCGCUUGCCUAGGAAGUGCAAGGCCCUGGGUUCAGUACCCAGCUCUGAAAAAAAGAACCAAAAAAAAAAAAAUAGUUCAGCUUAUGUUAAAAUAGUAACAAAUUGGCUCACAUCCAAGGUGUUGAGAACCCAGUAGCUGCUCAGGCCAUGAGGCUGGGCACUUCAGUAGUCCCAACCUGGUGCUGAGAAUCUGAAAGAUUCCCAGAGAGCCAUUGGUCCUCAGUCAAAUAUCGAAAUCUAGAAAUGCUGCUUCUGAUAUCACUGAAGCAGCAACAGGAUGGGUCAACUCAGAGACGAGAACAAAGGCCAGUGUGCAAACGGCAGAUGGUCUUCCUUUUGCUGCAAUUUAACAGCAACGACAACAAAUCUGGGCUUUUGCCAGAAGCUACCAACUACACUCAGGUGUGUCUUCCCACAGACGUUCAGACUAUCAGAACAGUUCUUCAGGGGACAUUCCCAUCCGAGUGAUUCUAAAUUAUGUCAGGAUAAGUCUAGGACUGUCAUUAUUACCAGGACACUGACGAUGAACUUGGGGACACCACUGAACCACUAUAAUAUUUCCCUCUUCCAAAUGUGGCCACACCAAGUAAGUAAUCUUUCUCCAUUCUUCACGAUUAUCCGUGUGUUUAAUUUGGCCUAUUAAGAGUGAAUGGCUGGACCUGGGAUUUUAGAGCUAGCUGGGUUCAGGCUUUGACCCUAACAACGCCUGGAUGCUGAGAUAGUUCCUUGAACUCCAAAGCUUCUACCAGUCUCUCAUUUUAGGACAUAUUUUGGGGAGAAAGAGGAAGAUCUGCCUGGGGGUCUUCAGGGAGAGAGUUUCCCCUGCUUGCUGGGACUAGGAGAGACUCGGUGGUGCACUUAGUCCUACAAACAUCUCACACAUGCACCUGUGCUAAAUUAGGCUAGAGAUACUUUAAGUGACAUUUACGCAGGAUAAAAUAGAGCAGAGGCUCAUUCGGGAAAGGAGAAUUAAAUAAAUAUAAUUUUAUUUUAUUUGUUGUGCAGAAAAUUUCUGCUUCAGUCUUACAGCAAUUGUAAGGUGAUGGCAGGCUAAGUUUGAUCACUUAGGCAGAGAAGCAUGCUCUUGUGCUGCACCUCACUUCUCACUAAUACUUUGUUUAUGGAUCACAUUUGGUUCUCCUUAUCCUAGUGAGUAAGCAGCUUUAGAGGAAUGGGGGCUCCCAGAUGUGAUGUAAAGGCUAAAAAGACACAGGCUUAGGUCACUCGCAGGGCCAGCCAAAUCAAUUUUGCAAGACAACAUUUUGUACCCCAUGUUUCCCUUUCCACCUCUAGAAAUUGAUGGAGAAACACUGAUUCCCUACAGGAGUGAGCUUGUUGCUCGUACUUUUGCUACCCUGGCUAAGCUCCUGGAACGGACUGCGCUACCCACACCCACCCAGCUUUCCUUGAAUUCACAGACAAAAGACAGACACACACAGUUGUUCAAUUUCAAUUUGCCUUUUGACAGAGUUGCUGGAAGCUACUAUCUCCCACCUGGAGAAUCGUGCCCUUAUCGCUCUUCUCAUCUCAGCCCCUCCUGUCCGCCCUAAACUUUACGCACUCAGUUACAUUUAGUUCAUCUGCCUGUAGGGGCAGCCUGGGUUUCAAGAUCUGACAUGACUGGUCAACUUUUCUUCAUCAGAAGCAUGGCAAACACCUCUCCUCUCUCCUUGUGUCUCUCUGCUUGCCUUCAGGGAUUUGGAAGUCCCACAUACCCCUUCCGCCCAGCAGUUGGCCCAUGGCUUCUUUACUGAUAGAUCAAGAACCAACUGGGGAACAGGACCUUAGCAUCAGACCCACACCUACAUGAGUUUAUGUCCGUCUGCUUCCACUGUGGCCUAGAAACUCCAGAGAGUUCAUGGUCCCUUCCCUGGAAUCUGACGUAUUCAGUUUUUUGUUAAGUAUUACAAUAAAUGACAAUUUUCAAAUAACAUGAUAGGCAUUUUCUCUCCCUUGGUGAUGCAGAUAUAGGCCAGGUUAGACCAGAUUAAAAGUAGAUAAAGGCAAGUUUAUUAGGAGGAAGCUUUUAUGGGGUGAGGUGGGGGGUUCACCAAUCUCACAGGUUGAGGUCAGCAAAGUCACAAAUCCGGGCAACAAGGGGGGUUUAUAGUGUUUAGGUAUGGAUCUGGGAUGUUGUCUAUACAUGGUCAAAAACUGAGUCCCUGAGCAGGCACUCUUGGGUGGGUUGUGUAAACUCAGAGACAAGGAAUGAUGACAUGUUAACCGGGAGUUUUCUCCAAGCAGAUGGGGGAGUUUCCUCUGUGUGGGAGGGAUUUGGGGAAGGAGGCCAUACAGGGUUCCCACUUGUACUGGGGAUGAGCAGGGGUUCCAGCCUAACAGUACGGUCUAGGAAUAAGCUUAAUUUAAAGUUCCUUGUAUUAUAGUGAAAACCUAUCAUCCUUACUAAACAGAUCAGGCCUCAUCUCACUUUGAAGUGUGUCUGUUCUGGCAAAUGCUGUCUAUGGAGUUUUCCAACAAAUGGUGGAUGAACUUUUGCUUAGCUGGGCAAUUUCUACUAACGAAAGCAGUCGUUUUCAUUGAUGUUAUUGCUAGAAUAAAAACCUUUCCCUUCCAACUGAUACUUCCCAAUCAUCUCCAUUCCCCUAUUCAAGCAUCCCCCACAACCCCACUGAAGCACCCUCAUCACCAGCUGCAGGAGCUCAGAGCCCCAUCUUAGAUAAGAACCCAUCUGUGAGUCAGUGUCUCACAGUUGCUCACCUCAGCCACAGCGUGGCAUCCUCUUCAGCUCUGGAUCUGCUGACGUGUAUUUAUUUACCUGUUGGAGUUGCUGCUUCGGGUUACAUUUUAGCCUCUGAUUUACUCCUUUAGUAUUCUCAGGUACAUGUGUGCUAGGCUAGUCAUAACUGUAGUCUCUGGGGUGUUGGUGCGUGCCCUCCAUGUACAGAUAGCUUGUGAGAAUGUAUGACUUCAUCACACCCUGCGACAGAUAACACAAGUCACAGAAUAUCACACCCUCAGGUGUUAAUUCAAAUCCCUCUGGGAACCUAGAUAACAAUUGAGAAUUGCAUAACUUCCGGCUUCUUGAUUAGCAUAGACUCUGUGGGGGUGGGCAAAUGGUUUUAUGCGUAAGAGAAUUUGCUGUUUAAGCAUGGUGACUUAAAUUCAAGUCUCUGUCACCCUCUUAAAAGCCAAGGUUGGACCCAAGCCAGUUAUCUUAGAGCCGUGGAAGGUGGAGGCAGGACAGAUGGGUGAAGCUAACUCCUCGCUGGCCAGCCUCCUGAUUCAGCGGGAGAGCCUGUCUCAAGGCAGAUGGUAACAGAGGAGAACCCCAAUAUCCCCUCUGUUUUCUUUACACACGUGCACAGAUGCACACACCCAUACAACAUGUGUUCCUAUAAACCCUCACAUUCAACACAAAAAACACAAAUUUGAAAAGCAAGCAUUUUUAAACUAAGGAAAAAAUAAUGAAAUAAAAUUCAACUCAACAACAGUCAUUAAACCUAGAUGCCUAUGUAUUACAUAUAAGAGGAAAUAUUUGGCUGCCUGGUCAUUUCCCUUCUGUAUGAAUUAGACCCCACCCCCAAUCCCCAGUAAUUUCCUGAAGGAAAACCCUGAUGGUGAACUUGAUGGAGAAAAUUAGAAGUUUUGCUUCCACCAAAGGUGAAACUGGAGAGAGAACCCUACAGGCGCUAGGAGGCCAGCAUCUCCUAGUUGGCUUUUACUGAUAUGAUCAAACUUCUAUAAAUGAAGAAAUACAGAGCCAUCUUCUCUCCUGGCUUCUGGGCCUCAUCCUUUCCAGCUUCUUUCCCCAGUCCUGUCUGUGUUGUUGCUCUGUGACUAACAGGUUCCUCUGCUGUUAGACCUUACCCUCUCAACAAGGUCCAUGGCCAAUUCUAAAUGAAAACAACAUAAACAAAGUAGUAAGUGGAUUGUCAUUUAAAGGUAAGCUAUUAAUGGUGUAGGCCUUCUGGGUAGAGAUAGGAGUCUAGACAUUGUUAGCGGGUGUGUGUAGCAGCACUGCCUAAGAAUUCACAGAGAGGUCAACCACACUAAUGACUUUCCCUGGUAACAAUUCUCAUUAGAACUACUUCCUCCAAAGGAGUGUCUCAGGAAGGCAGAGCAUGUCCUCCUGAGAGCCAAAGCCAGUGAGGGAGUCAGUCAGGAGCUUCCCUUACCAUUGUUCACCCAGGGCUGAAUCCUCACUACUUUCUCUUCUCGUGCUACUGCUAUGUGCCCAUGGGUGCACACUGCUAAAUUUGCUAUUUGUUCAGAGGAAAACUUAAUUCCCAAUUUGCUUUUGGACACCAAGCUUGAUCUUAAUAACCCUGCCUGACAGUUUGUUAAAAGCUUUCUGAAUCAGGCAGGGCUAAUGGGUUUCUGUUUGCAUGCCAACUCCCAAUGAUUGAUUGGUCGUGGAUGUCUAGCAUAGGGUCUGGGAUCAGACAAAGUUUUAAAAUUCUGGAGCCGGCUCUUGGUAGUUUUGUUAACAUGGACGAGUUUCUUAUCCCCACCUAAACCUCAGUUUCCCCAUUUGGAAGGAUACUGGUGGUAUUCACUUGCUCUAGAAAGUGUACCAAAUGAGAAAUAUACCACAGGUGCAUAACACAGAACUUAGGAACACAGUUUACACCAACUGAAUGCAGCCCUGGUUAGAGGGAAGUGGUGGAGAAGUCCUGAUGUUGUUCUCCUAUUGUUCACAUAUAAGGCUCUGCCCACCUCAUCCUGAGGACUUUAGUGUGUCUCCCUGUGUGGUGACAAGCAUGACUCAGGCAAGACAAUCUCCUCAUCUGCCCCAACUCUGUUCCUUCACUUGUGAAAUGGGGCUAAGAUAGUGUCUCCCUCAUGGAUGGAUGUAGAAAUAUAAAACAGUAUUGCCAGACAAGCUCAGCCCUGUAAGCUCCCUAAAGGAGCUCCCCAGGAAGUGUGGAAGGCUGGGGCGAGGAGUAGGGGAGGGACAGUACACUCACUUAGAAAGGCUUUUUCCUGUCAGCAGCUGUCACUCAUCCCUAUGGAACAAAUGGCAGCAGGGACAAACUGGCACAUCCUGCUGCUCCUCCACGAGGUGCGGUAGUGGGUGGCAUGGUGGCUUCAUUCAUAAGCCCACCUCCACCACCUCUCUUCCACCUGUCAAAACUGCAGGGGCUGCUUAGCACCUCAUGGAAAUUCUAAUCUGCAAUAAAGUCAUCAAUAAAUACAUCUGCCCGUGCAUGCAGGCGGCAGGACACAUUUGAGAAUUCAAAAUCCUAGGUAGAGGAGGGUAUGAACGCCGUCAGCUUGUCCUGUCACCAGGCGUGAUAUCUGAACACUGUUGUCAUCACAGAGCUGUUUGGUAUCUGCCAAGCUUAGAUUUUCCUCUCAAGUGUGAAGUAGACUGUUCAAGAGAAGAAAACUUCAUCAAGCCCCAGAUAGGAGGAAAAAGCCCUGUCCUUGACUUUGUAAAGUGGAAGUUUUGGUCUCUGUAUGUUAGCAUACAGGCCUGUGCUUUGUGGCCCUAAGGGACUUUCUUGUUCCUCCUCAAACCCCUUUGGCUUUCAUUGCCUUCCUCUCCCUCCUCACAUCCCUGCUAUGUAACAGUGACAAGGAACGGCCUGCUGUGUUUGUCACACUCUGCACAGUCACUGAUGAAUUAAGUCACUGCUCAGUAGAUGAACACAAGCCUGCCUGAUGACAGAGACAGACACCUACAGGAUGCUUCCUCUGAGUGUGCACAGGGCUGGCUUUGCUGCCUAUAGUCACAGCAAGUUGGAUUGUUCUAGUAGGGAAAUGGUGCUCUAAUUGUGUUUCCUACAUCUGCGGCAAAUAAAAACUGUCAGAUGUAAGUUGUAAGUUACACACAGGGAAUAAUUCUAGUUCAGGAAAUUAAGUUAGAAGAAUCUUGGUGAAUAUAAAUGUUCUUCCGGUGAGCUUUGUUGAGAUUUGAGCCAGGCAUAUACAUAAAAUCUUACUACUCAGAGGGCUGAGCUGAGGGGAUUGUACCUGUGGUCAGCCUGGGCUAUGCGGUGAGUUCAAAACAAGCCUGUACUACAUAGUAACACUCUGCCAGAAGUUUCACUCGGAAGAGGGAGAAGAAGGAGGGAAGGGAAAGGAAGGAGAAGAGGAUAAUGAUAAUAAUAAUAAUAAUAAUAAUAAUAAUAAUAAUAAUAAUAAUUGAUGAUCAUUGACUUCGAAGUUAGACUCAUAUAGGACUAAAUUAUGACUCUAUAUGUGGUUGUGGCUUCUGAAUUGGAGAGUGAAGUACAGAGCUUUACUCAUAGAAUGCAUUUAGCUCACAGAAAAUGGAGUUUAGAGUUCCCUCCUUUUGAAUUGCCUCUUUAACAGAUAUGGAAGGAUGCAUCUCUCAGCAAGUCAGAGAAUCAGAACAAAUGAGUUUAAUUUUAUUAAAAAGAAACAGUAGUGUCUUGCCAUGUCAUGCCCAGACAAGUUGGGAGAGAGAAGGAGAGAGAGAGAGAGAGAGAGAGAGAGAGAGAGAGAGAGAGAGAGAGAGAGAGCGCUUUAGGAACUACUGAAGCAAAAAUACAGGUUUUAGAGGCCUGCCCACAGCUCGAGCCACUACCACAUGCAAAUAUGAGGUGGAGAGAUGGGGGAGAAAGAGGAGGUGAACAGUUUGAGCACUCUGAAGAGAGGUGGAACUGGAGAGGAGGGUAGAGAGGAAUAGCCUGCUGUGAGUAGCCCUCCCUGCCACUCCAGCAGUAGCAGGGAUCUGUGUUGAUACCCAUGGUUGAAAGUACCACCAAAGGUCACGCUGAUGUCCCCAGUCUAGGCUGUCACCUGGAACCAUGUUGAUAUCCAAGGACUGUACAGAGCUGGCCCUGCCCCUUGCUAGCUGUGGCGUUUGGGAGGGCUGGCCCCAACCCUUGCCAGCCUCACAGACAAAGCAUUUUGGAGAGCAGUCCCUGCACCUUGCCUGGGCAGCACAGGAGAGCUGGCCCUGCAGGCAGGAAUCAGGGUAAACCUUGAGUUCAGGCUCCUCCCCUUCGCAUGUUGUGGCAUUGGGUGAGAGCUCACCCUGGUGGUGCAGUUGUGGGAGAGCUGGUAAGCUGACAAGCCCAGCUACCAUCCAGGCCCAGGUUCAGGGCUUUGAGUUGGUCCACUCCAAAAUCUACCCCAUCUAUGAACUGCUGAAGGUCGUGAAGGGACCAGUCCUGCAAAUCCACAGGAUAGCUGAGGAGUCCUGGUGAGGAUCCAGUAUUGAUGGUGUAGCAGAAGCCAGAAGCCUCCAACCAGACCAAUGACUCACUGCAAUGAAGAUUUGCAAAUAAAGACGUGAGGACAAAAGGGUAUACUGUGGUUUACUCUGCAGCUUCCACGACAAGAUGGUUUUUGUUGUGUUUUGCAUUUUGGUUUGUUUGGUUUGUUUGUUUGGUUGGUUGGUUUUUUUGUUGUUUAUUUUUAGUUUUUUAAAUUAUCUUUUGGUGGGGAGGUUGCAAGGAUGGAGGGCAGAUCCGAGGAGAUGAGGAGGUGAUUGGGACUGGGGUGCAUGAUGUGAAAUUCACGAAGAAUCAAUAAAAUGGGCUUUAAAAAAAAAGUACAGGGUUUUAACAGUGGAAUGCUGCCAUCGAGUAAUGUUGGUUUUGGCUGCCAUUACUUUUUUUUUUUAAUUAAUUUUUUUAAAAGAAAAUCAUUGCCCAAAGAACAAGCUUGUAUAAAAUCAGUAGAAUUUUUCAGCUUCUUGGAGAAAGGGGCACACAUGCUUGCCUGGAGUGUAUAGGCUUAAAGAAUGGACAAUGACCACAGGAGAUGGGAUAGCACUUGGAGAUGGUGUCUUAGAGUUUCCCACUAUGGAGGGUCCUGCUUUCCAACUGAUGGUCCUUGUCGUGACAUCAACUAUUAUAGGAAAUCAGUGGUGCGGGUGGGGUCCUGCUUUGUUGGUCCAUUGACAAGGGCAUUCCCAAAAGUCAUCCAUUAGUGUCUUAAGUAUCAGAAAAAUGUUACUCAGGCUGGUGACUUUUCCCGCAGUCUGGCUGUGGAAGAAGCAAUUUUGUAAAUAGUACUCUGGAAGUUGUUUAAUUGCUGCAAAGGGAUGUGACCAUGGCAAUCCAUCCUCAGACUUUAGAACUGUUCACUCUUUAGACUUAUAUGGUUAGCACUUCUCAACAGAGCCUGCUGGGUCCAUUUUAAGUAUUAGCAUAUGGAGAAAUUAUCAAGUUCUGUCCACUAGGUAAAUGUGAUUUAUCCUUCAGAUUUUAAAAGCUGGAUGCUUUUCACAAAGGGGGAUGUGUUGAAUGACUAAUGGUACACUUUGUUUUGCAUUAUAAUCAUACAAGAACAGUCUGAGAGCUCAUUUACAAAAGGAUUUUGAAAAGGCUUUCCAUCUUCCGGAGAACAAGGGCAGGUACCCGAAACACAAACGAAGGUCCCAAUCCAUCUUCUUCUCUUUCAAAGAUACUGGGAAAAGACAGUUUGCAGCAAAAGCAUUAGUCAGAGAGAGGUUGAUUAAUGUACGUGCUGGGGGUUUAAAACAUGCGUCCUUUGCAGGAUGGAUUUCCCACAGGCUUUUCAGGUAUAAAGGUGAGGACAGUGAUUAAGUUGCUUUGCAAUUUGUGUCUUAGACAAAUUUUAACAAAACAUUGCAAAACUGGCUGAAGAUUCUUCAGGAUAAGAACGAAGGCAUAAUCCACAGUCAUCUAAAUCUGAAAAGUUUCUGCUUAAAAAAUAUAUCUUUACCAUGGCCCAUUCACAGUGGGCACUUCUUUUUCCUGUAUUUGAAGCCAGCUCUAUGGCAACUGAGGUCCCGAGCAAGCAGGAAGAGGAGGGAAAAUAGCGACCAACUUAUAACUGAUGACUGCAGGAAAUCUUCACAAAAACUUUUCCCUUUAAUCUGCUCACAAUCACUCUCUUCCUGAUUACUGCACUGUUGAAAGUAAGGUGACCUGACUUCAAAACCACACUGUUCCAACCACUCAAUUCUUAAGGCAUUCAUCUCAGGAACAGGUGAUACUUGAUACUUUAAAUAAAAUGUAAGUGCAUAUGUGCAUGGGAGAGAGAGAGAGAAAGAGAGGGAGAGAGAGAGGGAGAGAGAGAGACAGAGAGACAGAGAGACAGAGACAGAGAGAGACAGAGAGACAGAGAGACAGAAAGACAGGCAGGGAGACAGAGACAGA